UACGUAGGGGGCAAGCGUUGUCCGGAAUUAUUGGGCGUAAAGAGCGCGUAGGCGGUCCGGUAAGUCAGCUGUGAAAGUCAAGGGCUCAACCCUUGAAAGCCGGCUGAUACUGCCGGACUAGAGUCCGGAAGAGGCGAGUGGAAUUCCCGGUGUAGCGGUGAAAUGCGCAGAUAUCGGGAGGGACACCAAUGGCGAAGGCAGCUCGCUGGGACGGUACUGACGCUGAGGAGCGAAAGCGUGGGGAGCGAACAGG
rnacentral:rRNA from 1 species